UCUAAUAUGGCAGAUUAGUGCAAUGAAUUUAAGAUUCAUAUAUAAAUUAUAUUAUUUUAUUAGAA
rnacentral:tRNA from 1 species